AGUGAACGCUGGCGGUAGGCCUAACACAUGCAAGUCGAACGGCAGCACAGUAAGAGCUUGCUCUUACGGGUGGCGAGUGGCGGACGGGUGAGGAAUACAUCGGAAUCUACUUUUUCGUGGGGGAUAACGUAGGGAAACUUACGCUAAUACCGCAUACGACCUACGGGUGAAAGCAGGGGAUCUUCGGACCUUGCGCGAUUGAAUGAGCCGAUGUCGGAUUAGCUAGUUGGCGGGGUAAAGGCCCACCAAGGCGACGAUCCGUAGCUGGUCUGAGAGGAUGAUCAGCCACACUGGAACUGAGACACGGUGCAGACUCCUACGGGAGGCAGCAGUGGGGAAUAUUGGACAAUGGGCGCAAGCCUGAUCCAGCCAUACCGCGUGGGUGAAGAAGGCCUUCGGGUUGUAAAGCCCUUUUGUUGGGAAAGAAAAGCAGCAGGUUAAUACCCCGCUGUUCUGACGGUACCCAAAGAAUAAGCACCGGCUAACUUCGU
rnacentral:rRNA from 1 species